GCCCCGUUCGUCUAGUGGCCCAGGACGUCGCCCUCUCACGGCGGUAACACCGGUUCAAAUCCGGUACGGGGUAC
rnacentral:tRNA from 1 species